ACUGAAAUAGCUCAGUUGGUAGAGCGUCAGACUACAAUCGAAAGGUCCUUGGUCCGGUCCCCGGUUCCGGCA
rnacentral:tRNA from 1 species